rnacentral:lncRNA from 1 species
AGUAGCUCCAGUAAAAUUACCCUGCUGUAAAAAUGGGUACUUAACGUUUUAAGUAGCUUUGGGGAGAAGCGCCAGCUAUAGGAACUAAUGUGAACAAAGUUAAACCAAGUGUUCAAAGACUUUAAACCCUUUAAAUGCUUAUUUAAAUGCUUAUCCCUCUGCUGUGUCACCUGCUUGUAAAACCUGGUCAGUUAGGCAUGAUUAGACAUUUAGGUGCGGCUGCUUCAUUAUCUGCGAUUAUGCAUAUUCGUGAUUGUAAAUGUGAAAAGGAAUUAACAAAGGUACUGAUGAGGAAACUGUGCAGCUAAUGGAGCAGCAUUUCCACGGUUGCGCUUUCAGCAUCCGCCUCUUUGUCCCCAGUUUACCUUAAAUUUGAAUCUUUCCAAAACCUGAAAAUGCAACAGAAAGGAGGAGUGGGGUGAGAUGAGGAGCUGCUGCCAGUCAGUGCCAGCUGUCAGGGCCAGCGGAGUCUGGAUCCGCAAUGUUUGUCCACACUCGGUCCACUGUGGACACCUUCCAGUUCCCCACCAGCUCUCAGACACCGCCAGGUGUUCCUCUCACACCCGAAAAGCUCACCGAAUGCAUCUGUUAACUGAUUGCCAUUAGGCUGUGUCACAUCCCGGAUGGAGCUGGAGCCAUUUCCCAGAUCCCAAUGCCUUUCGGAUGUCUCCGUGCUUGCUGCCGCUUGCGGUGUGGCAUUCGGCCUGGCGCCGAGGGGGCGGUCGUGAAUCGCAGGAUAGGGCAGUUAGUCGUUAAUAUAGCCUCAGAGAUGGUGAAUGGUGAUUUUAACCGGCGUGUGCCUCCGGACAUGGGCCAAAACGUGUCUUGGAAGAACACCAGUGGCAAACUGGCCAUCUGCUUUGCCUGCUGUCCGACAACGAAGGCGCGUCAAGGCAGGCCGGGGGUGAAGGUGGCAGCCGUCGUAUUUCUAAGCUGCAAUUUAUCCAAAUACUCAGACGUAGUGUUUGGGCUUAACAGGGCCGGACGGAGCAAGGCUGCUGAACGAGAGCCGUCGCAGAGCAGGCGAACACGGGUUCAGAACCAGUAGAAGAGGAGGCGAACGGAUUCAGCUGCUUCUGCAGGAGUGUUUAGAGUAAAGUGAAGUGCGGGCAGGAGUGCCGUCAAUUUGUCGACCUCCUUGUUGCCCUUACAGUCAGACCUUGCAGACAGAAGAAGCUGAAAAGAGAUUUGUUAAUGCAGCAUUUCUGCUCCAUCUGAUGUGAAAUGUACUUCUUUUAUAUGCUUCGUUUAGAAUGAAGUGUCCUUUCCACCAGCACCUUAGCGAUUCAGGCUUUUUCAUGCUAACCGAGCCCAUUUAGAUUCAAAUUGUGUUAGAAGGAAAUGGAGAUAAAGGCAAAGAAAUCCAGGCAAAGAGAGUGUGUUUUGUGUGUGUGUUUUGUGUGUGUGUGUGUGUGUGUGUGUGUGUGUGUGUGUGCGCGCGCGCGCGCGCGCAUGCACUGGGAUUCAAUUGCUCUGAAAGGGCAGGUGUGUUCAGCCGCUGGCUCUCCCCCAGCCCUCGGGAAGGGCAUUAAAGGGUCUAAAUUAGACGCUUUUUACCAUGUACCUCUCCUAACCCUAAAGGCAGUUUGUCUCUCACUGCCUUAGGGAAGCAGAGAGUCUGGAGGCAACGUGAGCCACUUAUUCCGCUCGCUCUGCUUUUCUCUCAGUAAAAAGACAAGAAAAAUAUAACUGUUGGAAUACGAAUCUCCAUUGCUUUGUCCUUGCUCAGCAGGGUAAGGACUAGGGUUAACAUUAGGAUUAAGUUCAGGAUUAGUGCUAGUAUUAAGGUUAGAAUUAGGGUUAGGGUUAGAGUUAGCUCAUGGGGGUGCGGUGGCACAGUGGAUUUGACCGGGUCCUGCUCUCCGGUGGGUCUGGGGUUCGGGUCCCUCUUGGGGUGCCUUGCGACGGACUGGUGUCCUGUCCUGGGUGUGUCCCCCCCCUCUGGCCUUAUGUCCUGUGUUGCUGGGUUAGGCUCUGGCUCCCCACAACCGUGCAUGGAGAAGUGGUUUCAGACAGACAGUGUGUUAGAGUUAGCAUUAGGGUUAACA